AGGCUAAUACGUGAUGUAAUCCCUGGCCGACCGGCAACGGGAAGCUGGGGGACGUGUGAUUAGGCGCAAGAAAAGCCGGGAAAGAAUGCACGUCCAGACCGCGACAAAAACGGAUCGGUUUCGGCCGGCCCGAGCGGCUCUUGCGGGGUGCUUCUGACCUAUCAACUAGAUGGCAGCGUAACGGGCAUGCUAUGGUGGCAACGGGUACAGAGGAUUAGGGUUCGAUCCUGGAGAGUGGGCCUGAGAGAUU
rnacentral:rRNA from 1 species